UACGUAGGAGACGAGCGUUGUCCGGAGUUACUGGGCGUAAAGGGUGCGCAGGUGGUUGUGCGCGUGGGGGGUGAAAUCUCCCGGCUCAACUGGGAGGGUGCGCCGAAUACUGAGUGACUCGAGUGCGGGAGAGGAGAGUGGAAUUCCUGGUGUAGCGGUGAAAUGCGUAGAUAUCAGGAGGAACACCGGUGGUGUAGACGGCUCUCUGGACCGUAACUGACGCUGAGACACGAAAGCGUGGGUAGCAAACAGG
rnacentral:rRNA from 1 species